AGUGAUACUGCAUUGUACUUAGAAUCAUCAAACCUGAAUCCACUCAUUAUGCUGCUACGGGCCUGAUGACAUAGAUUUCAUUGCUGAGUGAUACUGCAUUGUACUUAGAAUCAUCAUACCUGAAUCCACUCAUUAUGCUGCUAUGGGCCUGAUGACAUAGAUUUCAUUGCUGAGUGAUAUUGCUUUUUACAAUCAUCAUACCUGAAUCCACUCAUUGUGCUGCUACGGGCCUGAUGACAUAGAUUUCAUUGCUGAGUGAUAUUGCAUUUUAGAAUCAUCAUACCUGAAUCCACUCAUUGUGCUGCUACGGGCCUGAUGACAUAGAUUUCAUUGCUGAGUGAUAUUGCAUUUUAGAAUCAGCGUACCUGAAUCCACUCAAUAUGCUGCUACGGGC